UACGUAGGGUGCAAGCGUUAAUCGGAAUUACUGGGCGUAAAGCGUGCGCAGGCGGUUUUGUAAGUCUGUCGUGAAAUCCCCGGGCUCAACCUGGGAAUUGCGAUGGAGACUGCAAGGCUAGAAUCUGGCAGAGGGGGGUAGAAUUUCACGUGUAGCAGUGAAAUGCGUAGAGAUGUGGAGGAAUACCGAUGGCGAAGGCAGCCCCCUGGGUCAAGAUUGACGCUCAUGCACGAAAGCGUGGGGAGCAAACAGG
rnacentral:rRNA from 1 species